AUGCUUCAGAUACCAUCUAUUAAGAUGCGUACCCUACUGAUUAGGUAUAUGGUUGAGAAUUUUGAGGCCAGCACGGCCAGAUUCAUUAUACAAGAGCAUGUUGGGGAGGUGUCUCUCGGAGCCGUGGACGUCGAGUGCAUCUUCAACUUGGAGAACCAAGGACUGUCCGCUUCAGACAUUCUCAUCGAAGAAGGUGAGGAUAUCAAGGACCGGGUGCCACCACAAUUUCUCAGUAAGACAACAGGUAACAUAGUCAUUGAUGAUCUCAUUCCGGACAUCAUUAAAAAUAAAUCCACCAACGACAAUUUCCUUCGGAAAGUAGUCCUUGUCCUGCUAGGAAUAGUUCUUGCUCCCAUGUCGAGCAAGAUUGUCCCAAAACAGUAUUACGCGUUGGUCGAUGAUGUGAAACAUAUUUCCAAGAUCAACUAGAAUGCGUUCACCCUUCGUGUUCUCCUCGAUUGCCUUCGCAUUGUCAAGAAAGGCAAACACCUCCGCCAAUGGCCGAAAGGCAAUUUAGCUCUCCUGCAGGUACACAUAUGA
rnacentral:rRNA from 1 species